rnacentral:miRNA from 1 species
GGAUGUUCAGCUAAAUUUGAAUUACAGACAAACAACACAUACAUCUUUUAGUGUAAGUAGGUUCCAGGCAAUAUUUGGGACCUACUUAUACUAAAAAAAAUUACUCAUUGUUUAUCUGAAAUUCAAAUUUAA